rnacentral:snoRNA from 2 species
AAGACUAUCCUUUCAGGGAUCAUUUCUAUAGUUUGUUACUAUAGAAGUUUUCUGAAGGUGUAGAGCACCAAAGGAU